AAGGAACAGAAGCAGAUGAAAGAGACAGUGGAACAAUCUGCCAAGAAAGGCAAGGGGUAGAGGAGGGAAGACAGGCUGGUGGAGAGGCUGGGGGCUAGUAAUUCUGUUCGCCUACUUGCAAGACAAUAUUACAGCAUGAUGGGAAACCCUGACUGUCAGGAUGGUUUAGAGCUUGGGAAAUUUGGGAAAGAACCCAAGAACAGCACGUGGUAUCGAGGCAUCAUCAACAUGGAGACAAAAAGGAGAGAAGGUCUUGGUUUAUUCUUGGUUGGCAUUUCCUGUGUCUGAGACACUGAGAAGAGAAAUGGGGGGAGGAAGGAUUUUUAAGACUUAAGAAGAGAGAAGAGGCGGUGCCAAAGAGAAAUCUGGCUAACAACAUAUAUCAGGAACCUUAAAAUGCCCAUACCUUUGACAUAGUGGUUCUGCUUCUGGAAGCUGACCCUAAAAACGCUAUCGAAAACAUUAAGAAAAAUCCUUAAGUA